rfam:Stegodyphus mimosarum contig55407, whole genome shotgun sequence.
GCCUUCGUGGUGUAGUAGUCAGCACGCUCGACGCAUAACCGAGAGGUCAGUGGUUCGAAUCCCAGCGAGGGCA